CAUUAGCAUACAAUUUACUUCUCUAUAUCUCUCUUUGUAAAAAAGCCAUGAAAAAAACACCACGUUCGAUCUGAUUAUUUGUUGUAUACUCCGUAUUAAGAUAUUUGUUAUCUUUGACUAACAAUUUUUAUGUAUAGUUUUUGUGUGUAGAUGUUGAUUUGGCUUUAUUAAUCAUGAGUUUUAGGAUCCAGAUUUGAAGGUUUUUCCCCACUCUCAUCUCUAAUAGCAACGAGAUUUUUCCUACUUUUCAGAUUUAUAUUUUCUUCUCAGAUCUGCAUAUGAACUCGCAGUUUUCAAAGAUGUAACCAUAAUUUUCACCGGCGUUAUAGUCGAACCACCAUCGAAGAAUAUCCAAAAAUUCCAAGUUUGUUUGAAUUUUGUUUUUAAAUUUUCAAUUGUUUGCUUUAUAAUAUAAAUUCUUUUGUCAUUGGAUGUGAGUCUCCACCUUGGUUUACAUAUCAAGAAGAUAAUAAUACACGAAUUCAGUGCCUUACGAAACUCAUGCUAUUGAUGAAGUCGUUGAAGGAAAAAGUCAAAUGAGCUUUGAAGCAAAUUUUGAGGAAGAUGUUGAAGGCCUAUUUAUUCUAAUAUAUUGUUAUAUGAAAUUGUAUAGAUCUUAGUGUAAUUUUAUUAUGUGUUUUGUGUAAGAGAUUAUAAAGCAUGAAUAAAAUGUCAUUUUCUACAA